rnacentral:lncRNA from 1 species
CUUCAGAUGAAUGGAUCUUAAAGAGUGACAACUGACGGCCUGGCGUGGUGGCUCACGGUUGUAAUCCCAGCUUUGGAGGCAGAAGCAGGCAGAUCACGAGGUCAGGAGAUCGAGACCAUCCUGGCUAACAUGGUGAAACCCCGUCUCUACCAAAAAUACAAAAAAUUAGCCGGGCGUUGUGGUGGGCACCUGUAGUACCCGCUACUCAGGAGGCUGAGGCAGGAGAAUGGAGUGAACCCCGGAGGCGGAGGUUGCAAUGAGUGGAGAUUGCACCACUGCACUCCAGCCUGGGCGACAGAUCAAGACUCCGUCUCAAAAAAAAAAAAAUUUUUUUUUAAGGCAUAGGAAGGGCAAAUUCUCUCAUUCUCUCUCUUCUUGAGCUGGGACAUCCAUUUUCUCCUGCCUUCAGGAAAUCAGAGCUCCAUGUUCUUGGAUCUCCCGACUCUGGGACUUACACCUUACCCUUUUCCCCUCAGUCUUUCAGACUUGGACUGAAUUACACCAUCACCUUUCCUGGUUCUCCAGCUUGCAGAUAGCAUGUCAUGGGACUUCUUAGCCUCUGUAAUCAUAUGAGCCAGUUCAUAUAGUAAAUCUCCUCCUAUUGAUCUAUACCUAUAUCUGUAAUCCUAUUAGUUGGGUUUCUUUGGAAAACUCUAAUACCCCCUUAUCCACAGUUUUUUUUUUUUUCUGCAGUUUCAGUUAUCUACGGCCAACUGGGUAAACCAAAUAGAUGCUCUUUACAAAUAUUUUUUAACUUCUUAAAAUAUCUCAUUGAGGAUUCCGUUCCAAGAUGGCCAAAUAGGAACAGCUCUGGUCUGCAGCUCCCAGUGUGAUCGACGCAGAAGACGGAUGAUUUCUGCAUUUCCAACUGAGGUACCUGGUUCAUCUUACUAGGACUGGUUGGACAGUGGGUGCAGCCCACGGAGGGUGAGCCGAAGCAGGGCAGGGCAUCGCCUCACCUGGGAAGCGCAAGGAGUCAGGGGAUUUCCUUUUCCUAGCCAAGGGAAGCCGUGACAGAUGGUACCUGGAAAAACGGGACACUCCUGCCCAAAUACUGCGCUUUUCCAAAGUCUUAGCAAAUGGCACACCAGGAGAUUAUAUCCUGUGCCUGGCUCGACAGAUCCUAUGUCCAUGGAGCCUUGCUCACUGCUAGUGCAACAGUCUGAGAUUGACCUGCAAGGCAGCAACCUGGCAUGGGGAGGGGCAUCCGCCAUUGCUGAGGCUUGAGUAGGUAAAUAAAGUGGCUGUGGAAGCUCGAACUGGGUGGAGCCCACCACAGCUCAGCAAGGCUGACUGCCUCUGUAGUCUCCACCUCUGGGGCAGGGCAUAGCUGAACAAAAAGCAGCAGAAACUUCUGCAGACUUAAACAUCCCUGUCUGACAGCUCUGAAGAGAGCAGUGGUUCUCCCAGGAUGGUGUUUUAGCUUGGAGAACAGACAGACUGCCUCCUCAAGUGGGUCCCUGACCCCCAUGUAGCCUAACUGGGAGACACCUCCCAGUAGCCGACUGACACCUCAUACAGGCAGGUGCCCCUCUGGGAUGAAGCUUCCAGAGGAAGGAUCACUCAGCAAUAUUUGCUGUUCUGCAAUAUUUGCUGUUCUGCAGCCUCUGAUGGUGAUACCCAGGCAAACAGGUCUGGAGUAGACCUCCAGCAAACUCCAACAGACCUGCAGCUGAGGGACCUCACUGGUAGAAGGAAAACUAACAAACAGAAAGAAAUAGCAUCAACAUCAACAAAAAGGACAUCCACACCAAAACCCCAUCUGUAAGUUACCAACAUCAAAGACCAAAGGUAGAUAAAACCACAAAGAUGGGGAGAAACCAGAGCAGAAAAGCUGAAAAUUCUAAAAACCAGAGCACCUCUUCUCCUCCAAAGGAUCACAACUCCUUGCCAGCAAUGGAACAAAGCUGGGUGGAGAAUGACUUUGACGAGCUGACAGAAGUGGACUUCAGAAGGUCAGUAAUAAUAAACUUCUCCCAGCUAAAGGAGGAUGUUCUAACCCAUCGCAAGGAAGCUAAAAACCUUGAAAAUAGAUUAGACGAAUGGCUAACUAGAAUAAACAGUGUAGAGAAGACCUUAAAUGACCUGAUGGAGCUGAAAACCAUGGCACGAGAACUUUGUGACACAUGCACAAGCUUCAAUAGCCGAUUCGAUCAAGAAAGGAUAUCAGUGAUUGAAGAUCAAAUUAAUGAAAUAACUCAAGAAGAUUAGAGAAAAAAGAGUAAAAGGGAACGAACAAAGCCUCCAAGAAAUAUGGGACUAUGUGAAAGACCAAAUCUACGUUUGAUUGGUGUACCUGAAAAUGACAGGGAGAAUGGAACCAAGUUGGAAAACACUCCUCAGGAUAUUAUCAAGGAGAACUUCCCCAACUUAGCAAAGCAGGCCAACAUUCAAAUUCAGGAUAUACAGAGAAUGCCACAAAGAUACUCCUCAAGAAGAGCAAACCCAAGACACAUAAUUGGCAGAUUCACCAAGGUUGAAAUGAAGGAAAAAAUGUUAAGCGCAGCCAGAGAGAAAGGUCGGGUUACGCACAAAGGGAAGCCCAUCAGACUAACAGCGGAUCUCUCGGCAGAAACCCUACAAGCCCGAAGAGAGUGGGGGCCAAUAUUCAACAUUCUUAAAGAAAAGAAUUUUCAACCCAGAAUUUCAUAUCCAGCCAAACUAAGCUUCAUAAGUGAAGAAUAAAAUCCUUUCCAGACAAGCAAAUGCUGAGAGAUUUUGUCACCACCAGGCCUGCCCUAAAAGAGCUCCUGAAGGAAGCACUAAACAUGGAAAGGAAAAACCGGUACCAGCCACUGCAAAAAUAUGCCAAAUUGUAAAGACCAUCGAUGCUAUGAAGAAACUGCAUGAACUAACAAGCAAAAUAACCAGCUAACAUCAUAAUGACAGGAUCAAAUUCACACAUAACAAUAUUAACCUUAAAUGUAAAUGGGCUAAAUGCCCCAAUUAAAAGACACAGACUGGCAAAUUGGAUAAAGAGUCAAGACCCAUCCGUGUCCUGUAUUCAGGAGACCCAUCUCACGUGCAGAGACACACAUAGGCUCAAAAUAAAGGGAUGGAGGAAGAUCUACCAAGCAAAUGGAAAGCAGAAAAAAGCAGGGGUUGCAAUCCUAGUCUCUGAUUAAACAGACUUUAAACCAACAAAGAUCAAACGGGACAAAGAAGGCCAUUACAUAAUGGUAAAGGGAUCAAUUCAACAAGAAGAGCUAACUAUCCUAAAUAUAUAUGCACCCAAUACAGGAACACCCAGAUUCAUAAAACAAGUCCUUAGAGACCUACAAAGAAACUUAGACUCCCACACAAUAAUAAUGGGAGACUUUAACACCCCACUGUCAAUAUUAGACAGAUCAAUGAGACAGAAGGUUAACAAGGAUAUCCAGGACUUGAACUCAGAUCUGCACCAAGCAGACUUAAUAGACAUCUACAGACCUCUCCACCCCAAAUGAAGAGAGUAUACAUUCUUCUCAGCACCACAUCACACUUAUUCCAAAAUUGACCACAUAGUUGGAAGUAAAGCACUCCUUAGCACAUGUAAAGGAACAGAAAUCACAACAAACUGUGUCUCAGACCACAGUGCAAUCAAAUUAGAACUCAGGAUUAAGAAACUCACUCAAAACUGCACAACUGCAUGGAAACUGAACAAUCUGCUCCUGAAUGACUACUGGGUAAAUAACGAAAUGAAGGCAGAAAUAAAGACGUUCUUUGAAAACAAUGAGAGCAAAGACACAACGUGCCAGAAUCUCUGGAACACACUUAAAGCACGGUAUAUAGGGAAAUUUAUAGCACUAAAUACCCACAAGAGAAAGCAGGAAAGAUCAAAAUCAACACCCUAACAUCAUAAUUAAAAGAACUAGAGAAGCAAGAGCAAACAAAUUCAAAAGCUAGCAGAAGGCAAGAAAUAACUAAGAUCAGAGCAGAACUGAAAGAGAUAGAGACACAAAAACUUCAAAAAAAUCAACGAAUCCAGGAGCUCGUUUUUUGAAAAGAUCAACAAAAUUGAUAGACUGUUAGCAAGACUAAUAAAGAAGAAAAGAGAGAAGAAUCAAAUCGAUGGUAUAAAAAGUGAUAAAGGGGAUGUCACCACCAAUCCCACAGAAAUACAAACUACCAUCAGAGAAUACUAUAAACACCUCUACACAAAUAAACUAGAAAAUCUAGAAGAAAUGGAUAAAUUCCUGGACACAUACAGCCUCCCAAGACUAAACCAGGAAGAAGUUGAAUCUCUGAUUAGACCAAUAACAGGCUCUGAAAUUGAGGCAGUAGUUAAUAGCCCACCAACCAAAAACAGUCCAGGACCAGACAGAUUCACAGCCAAAUUCUACCAGAGGUACAGAGGAGCUGGUACCAUUCUUUCUGAAACUAUUCCUAGCAAUAGAAAAGAGGGAAUCCUCCCUAAUUCAUUUUAUGAGGCCAGCAUCAUCCUGAUACCAAAGCCUGGCAGAGACACAACAAAAAAAAGAGAGGCCGGGCGCGGUGGCUCACGCCUGUAAUCCCAGCACUUUGGGAGGCCGAGGCGGGUGGAUCAUGAGGUCAGGAGAUCGAGACCAUCCUGGCUAACAAGGUGAAACCCCGUCUCUACUAAAAAUACAAAAAAAUUAGCCGGGCGCGGUGGCGGGCGCCUGUAGUCCCAGCUACUCGGGAGGCUGAGGCAGGAGAAUGGCGUGAACCCGGGAAGCAGAGCUUGCAGUGAGCCGAGAUUGCGCCACUGCAGUCCGCAGUCCGGCCUGGGCGACAGAGCGAGACUCCGUCUCAAAAAAAAAAAAAAAAAGAGAAUUUUAUACCAAUAUCCCUGAUGAACAUCGAUGCAAAAAUCCUCAAUAAAAUACUGGCAAACCGAAUCCAGUAGCACAUCAAAAAGCUUCUCCACCACGAUCAAGUGGGCUUCAUCCCUGGGAUGCAAGGCUGUUUCAACAUAUGCAAAUCAAUAAACAUAAUCCAUCACAGAAACAGAACCAAUGACAAAAACCGCUUGAUUAUCUCAAUAGAUGCAGAAAAGGCCGUCGACAAAAUUCAAAAGCCCUUCAUGCUAAAAACUCUCAAUAAACUAGGUAUUGAUAGAACGUUUCUCAAAAUAAUAAGAGCUAUAUAUGACAAACCCACAGCCAAUAUCAUGUGGAAUGGGCUAAAGCUGUUGACCUGAUAGAUAUGGGUUCAAGAGGACACAGCUGAAUACUGUGCUUAGGAAAAGAACAGUUUCAAAGGCUUUCCAGAUUGUCAGAUUUGAUGAUAUCCUCCUUGGUGCACACCUCUCUUGGCUAUGGGGCACAUAAACCACCUCUACCAAUCUAACUGGUUUGUGCAGUUUUUCUGAUUUUGUAUCUACCGGCAAAAUAUAUCUUAAGCCAUUUUUAGGAAACAGGAGGUUUAGUCACGUGCUCAACAAAAGCACAACAAAUGGGGAGCAUUUAAUGGUGUAAGGGCUGUGAGGUGUAGCUGCUGAAACUGUAGCUAGGAGCUGCCUUGCUGCCUUCUUGCAGGCAGAUUGGCCAGAUGAGCCAGGCUAAAAUACAAUUAAUAUCUACCAUUGUGGUUUAAUAUGAAAUAUGGAUACCUGGUCUUUGUCUCAGUUCUUGUCAUAGAGUUCCCCAAACCUUUAGAACUUCCUGAGUGGUAGGAAUAUCUCAUUAGUGAUAAUGAGCCCCUUUGAUUCGAUAACUCCUGAGUUUAUGCUAAUGAGGUUACUUAAUGUGGGGCCCUAGAUAUUCUUAGGAUGGGGCUAGUUCCCGGAAAGACCAGGUCAUUUGAGGAUUAGAGGGUUGGAACUUUUAGCUCUACCCACUGAUCUCUGGGUGGGGAAGGUGCUGGAGAUCAAGCUGCCUAAAAACUCUUGAACAACAAGAUUUGAGGAGCUUCCAGUAAAUGCGUCCACAAGCUGGGAGGGCACUGCACCCCAGUUUCACUGGGACAGAAGCUCUUGCACUUGGAAUCUUUCCAGACCUAGCCCUUCAUGCUGCUUCAUCUGGCUGUUCAUCUGUAUCCUUUAUAAUAAAUUGGCAAAUGUAAAGGUUUAGCUGAAUUUGGUGAGCCUUUCUAGAAAAUUAAUUGAACCUAAGAAGGGGUCUGUGGAAACCCUGGUUUGUAGUUGGUAGGUCAGAGGUGCGUGUGGCUUGGAUGUUCGAAUGGCAUCUGAAGAGGGACAGAGCACACAACCUGUGGGAUCUGACACUAUCUCCCCGCAGAUAGGGUCAGAGCUUAAUUCUAUUAGAGAACACCCCAUUGGUAUCUGCUGGAGAAUUACUUGGUGUAUGAGAAGCCCCCCACCACAUCUGGUCACAGAAGUAUUGUGGGUUGAGUGUGACAGUACAGGGUAAAAAGUGGUUUGUUUUUUCCUCUAACAGUGAUCACUCCCUCUCAAAGGAGUGUGGAAGGUUUUCUGGAUAGGAAUACUGCAUAUAAUCAUUUGGUUCACUUCAGAAACUACUAUAAUUUUGACUGUGCUGGUUCACUUCCACAUGUACAAACACACACACAUACACACA